GAUGAACGCUGGCGGCGUGCCUAAUACAUGCAAGUCGAGCGAACGGACGAGAAGCUUUCUUCUCUGAUGUUAGCGGCGGACGGGUGAGUAACACGUGGAUAACCUACCUAUAAGACUGGGAUAACUUCGGGAAACCGGAGCUACUACCGGCUAAUAUUUUGAACCGCAUGGUUCAAAAGUGAAAGACGGUCUUGCUGUCACUUAUAGAUGGAUCCGCGCUGCAUUAGCUAGUUGGUAAGGUAACGGCUUACCAAGGCAACGAUGCAUAGCCGACCUGAGGGGGUGAUCGGCCACACUGGAACUGAGACACGGUCCAGACUCCUACGGGAGGCAGCAGUAGGGAAUCUUCCGCAAUGGGCGAAAGCCUGACGGAGCAACGCCGCGUGAGUGAAGAAGGUCUUCGGAUCGUAAAACUCUGUUAUUAGGGAAGAACAUAUGUGUAAGUAACUGUGCACAUCUUGACGGUACCUAAUCAGAAAGCAACGGCUAACUACGUG
rnacentral:rRNA from 1 species